rnacentral:rRNA from 1 species
UACGAAGGGGGCGAGCGUUGUUCGGAUUUACUGGGCGUAAAGGGCGCGCAGGCGGUCAUUUUUGUCGAGUGUGAAAGCCCCGGGCUCAACCUGGGAACAGCGCUUGAGACUGGCACGCUCGAGUUCGGGAGAGGAUGGUGGAAUUCCCAGUGUAGAGGUGAAAUUCGUAGAUAUUGGGAAGAACACCGAUGGCGAAGGCAGCCAUCUGGACCGACACUGACGCUGAGGCGCGAAAGCGUGGGGAGCAAACAGG